rnacentral:rRNA from 1 species
GCACAGCAGGCGAGAAACCUCCGCAAUACACGAAAGUGUGGCGGGGCCAUCCCGAGUGCCGUCCGCUGAGGACGGCUUUUCCCCAGUGUACACAGCUGGGGGAAUAAGGAGAGGGCAAGCCUGGUGUCAGCCGCCGCGGUAAUACCAGCUCUCCGAGUGGUGGGGACGCUUAUUGGGCCUAAAGCAUCCGUAGCCGGCUGGGCAAGUCCUCCGUUAAAUCCAACGAUUCAAUCGUUGGGCUGCGGGGGAUACUGUCCAGCUUGGGGGCGGGAGAGGCUGACGGUAUUCCCGGGGUAGGGGUGAAAAUCCUAUAAUCCCGGGAGGACCACCAGUGGCGAAGGCUGUCGGCUAGAACGCGCCCGACGGUGAGGGAUGAAAGCUGGGGGAGCGAACCGGAUUAGAUACCCCGGUAGU